rnacentral:tRNA from 1 species
AGUAGUAGUUCAGUGGUUAAGAUGUUGGACUAUUGCUUGGAAGGUCAUGAGUUCAAGCCUCAGCACCA